rnacentral:lncRNA from 1 species
CUCAAGUUGCCUAGGGAAAAAAAUGUAAUAUGAGAAAAGAGCCUAGGGCCAAGCCUAAAGGAACAGUUAUAUUUAAAGGUCAGAUGGUAAAGAUAGCCUUUGUUAGUAAAAACAACCAAAGAAUAAAGAGGAAAACCAGAAUACUGUGGAAUCAUGUCUAAGAGAAGAGAGUUUUAAGAAAGAGUAGCCAACAGUGUCAGGUGCCACUGAGAGGACAAACAGCCGAGACUAACAAAGGUUCUGGGAAAGUGGAGGAGAUGGAAUUCAGAGCAUAGGUAGAAGAAUCUACCUUAGGAAGAGGAACCCCAUCCUGCUGAAAAAGGAAAGAAAGAGAAGAUGGACACUAACACAGAGCAUUUUGAAUUCAGAAGAGACUUCAGGGAGAAGCUGCCAACCUAUGGACUUCAGAACCUCAAGAAGCUGUAAAAUUAAUCAUCAGAGGAGAUUUGCAAAUCUAUACUGAUAUCAAGCACUGUUUUAGGCUGAACAAAAUAAUGUCUCAUGCCUAAAUACUGUUAAUUUUGAAAUAUAUGUAAAUACUUUCAUGACUAAUUUUUAAAGGGUGCUAAAAUGGAAUCUUCAUAUUGAAAAAGAUUAGGAACACACUGUCUAUGGAUUGCCCUGUUCACUCUGCCAGUCUACACACUCAUCACCUCUUCCAUUACAGUCCUGACAGAUUGUUAUCCAGCUGCAACCGUAUGAUGAAGUCACUUAUUCAUAUAAAUGGUUUGAACAUUUUCCAUAACACUAAGAACACCUCUUUGUAAGGAAACUUGUAUUUUUAGACAGCUUUCAUUUUGACAAAUGUACUUUCUUCCCCAGAACUUCUAACAUUCUAGAAUUACUCAGAAUUAGCUUCAUUCAUUUUGCACGACAGCCCCUGAAACACUUAAGACAGUUCACAUGUCCUUCCUAAGGCUUUUCUCUCACACUCUGUCCUUCAGUCAGGGAUGUGACACAAUUCCUCAUUCUACCACUCUCCUCGUGCCCCUUCAGUAUGUAUCCAUUUGUCUCUCUGAAAACUCUAAACACAGCACAGCACACUAGAUUUGAUCUGCCUGUGACAACGCACAGUAGAAUGAUUAUGUCCCCUGACCUAGACACUAUAUUUCUAUCAGUGUUACCUAAGUCAGGAUUUUUAAAGCCUUGUAGUCAGCUAAAAAAUUUAGGACUUAAGCCAGCUCUCUCCCAUCUUAUUUCAAUACAAGAGAGUUUUCUGUAGCCAACUGUCCAUUAAAUCUUACCUUGCCACUAUGGGAUCAUUUAUUCCAGCCUAUUAAGGUUUUUCAGAAUCUUGAUUUUUGUCCUCUAACAUAUUAGCUAUUUCUCCCAGUUUUACAUCAUUUGUAAAUUUGAGAAGGUUCAUUCUAUCGUACAGCUUAUUCAUUCUUGGCACUUAAAUAGAUGAUUUUUUCAUGUUUAAAUGUCAUGACUAAUGACAUCACAUUUGGAAAACACUAAUUUUUAUAUUUAGUAUAUCAUUAC